GACGAACGCUGGCGGCGUGCCUAAUACAUGCAAGUUGAGCGAUGAAGAUUGGUGCUUGCACCAAUUUGAAGAGCAGCGAACGGGUGAGUAACGCGUGGGGAAUCUGCCUUUGAGCGGGGGACAACAUUUGGAAACGAAUGCUAAUACCGCAUAACAACUUUAAACAUAAGUUUUAAGUUUGAAAGAUGCAAUUGCAUCACUCAAAGAUGAUCCCGCGUUGUAUUAGCUAGUUGGUGAGGUAAAGGCUCACCAAGGCGAUGAUACAUAGCCGACCUGAGAGGGUGAUCGGCCAAAUUGGGACGGAGACACGGCCCAAACUCCUACGGGAGGCAGCAGUAGGGAAUCUUCGGCAAUGGACGAAAGUCUGACCGAGCAACGCCGCGUGAGUGAAGAAGGUUUUCGGAUCGUAAAACUCUGUUGGUAGAGAAGAACGUUGGUGAGAGUGGAAAGCUCAUCAAGUGACGGUAACUACCCAGAAAGGGACGGCUAACUACGUG
rnacentral:rRNA from 1 species